rnacentral:lncRNA from 1 species
UCUAGUUUCAGGAUAAUAACUUAUGAAUAGGUAUUUCAAUUGGUCUGAAAUUGUACCACAUUGUUUAAAACCACAAAGAGAAGGUUUGGGUUCAUAUUAGGGGUUAUGGGGCCAAAAUGUAGGAAUUAAGAGCCAAAGAGGGGCCAAAAAACAAGCAUAUUUCUAGUUUCCAGACAAUAACUUGUGUGUAAUUGUAUGGAUUUCUCUGAAAUUGUACCACAAUGUUCCAUAUAACAAAGGGGAGACUGUAAUUAAGUUUUUGAUUAUUUGCCCAAAAUAUAUAGGAAUUAGGGGCAAAAAAAGGCCAAAAAGAAGCAUUUUUCUAGUUUCCAGACAAUAACUUGUGUUUAAGUGUAUGGAUUUCUCUGAAAUUGCACUACAAUGUUCCAUACUUCAAAGGAAAGGAUGGGAUUGAGUUUAAAGGUUAUUGUUCCAAGGGGGGUUUCAUGAAGUUGAUGAAGUUGGGGGGGGGGGGGGGAUUUUUUGUUUACAAUUUUUUUUAAGGGAUUCCUUUUUUUCAAACUUUUUCAAGAAGAAAUAUUCUUUGCACAGUAUUGUGCAAUAGAUUUGUUUGAUCUUUGACCACAUUUAUUUUGUGACAAAAACCUAUAUAUGUAAAAAUUUUAUCACAAUCAAGUCUAGACAGUAUCAAGCUUGAAUAUUGAGACCAAAUUUGCCCCAAAUGUUCAGGGUUCGACCAUUGCGGUCGUAUAAAGCUGUGCCCUGCGGAGCACCUGGUUUAAUUGUAAAGUUAGCCAUGGAAAAGUACUUAAAAAAGAUGUCAAUAUUGCCAAUUUUGUACUUAUUGAAGAAAAUUGAUAAGAUUUAUACCAACAAUUUCAAAAUUUCAACUCUAGUUUUGAUAACUUAUUUUGCUUUUUUAUGAGGGAAAAAUGAUUUCCUUUAGCAUAAAUCCUCAUUAAAUGACAACAAUGGCUAUGAAUAUUUUGUGCUAUUAAAGAUGAGGAAUGAAAUCACAUGUUUGAAUGCACAAGUAUACAUGUAACAGAUAAUCGUUAAUGAAUUAAUAGAUUUUUAAUUAUAAAUAAUUCAAUGAUUUGGAUUUUUCUUUUGACUGUUGAAAUGCAUGUUUAUUUAGAAAUUAAUCAUAUUGUUGUUUGUUAAUAUAUAUAUUUAUAAGGAUUCCUUUUAUUGUUGGAUACCAAUUUUUCAUUGUAAAUCUAAAUGCAAAAUUUAAAUAUUGAUAGUUGUAUGGAGUUCUUCUAAUAAACUUAAAUUGAUAUCCACCAUGUAAAGUGAAGCCAUAGAUUAUGACAUUUAUGCCAUAAACCAGUAAUGUUAUUUGUUUUUAUACGAUUAGAUAUUUUUGUUAAUACUAUCUGUUAUGUGUUAAUUCAGUCAUGCAAGAUUUUUAAUAAAAAAGUAUGGCACCACAAAAAAACUUAUUUUUUUUUCUUCGUUUGGUCUGCUUGCAUAUCAAGCCUGUGACUUCUAUUGCAGACAGU